rnacentral:SRP_RNA from 1 species
GCCAAGCUAUGUUGCGCUAGCUCAUGACUCGAGCGAGGGCAUUGAAGUGGCAGAAACAACAGUUUGACUCAUCUUGCAGAGUUGGCGGUUGCAACUUGCCGGCUCACCCAUUCUAAAUUGUGAGUUAGGUCAUGUGAAGGCUCGAGCCGUGUGUCUCUUUAGACCAGAGGGCACACCGUGAGGCUGCUUUCACAUAGCAGCGAAAACCUCCCACUCAGAACAGUAUAGGGAUAAUGGGUCAGUGCCCGCCAAUCCACAUUUGCAUGAUGGGUUCAGAUGAAUCACCCAUUUU